ensembl:lncRNA DPY19L2P2 DPY19L2 pseudogene 2
GUCAACGGCUGCGGGGACAAGUCCGUUGAGGCUGCCAGGCGAGUCAGGCCUUUCUGGACCUCGCCUGACUCGGCUGGGCUGUGCCUGAAAUUGACCCAGCUCCACUAGGAAUUAUGAAGAAACAAGGAGUAAGCCCAAAGCCGCUGCAAUCUUCCCGCCCCAGCCCGUCUAAGCGGCCCUGCGGGGCCUCCCCCGCCCGGGAGCGGGAGGUGGAAAAGUCGGCCCUAGGCGGCGGGAAACUGCCGGGGGGCGCCAGGAGGUCCUCCCCGGGGAGGAUCCCAAAUCUGAAAAAGCGAAAAGGCUUGGAGCUAAAGGUGGUGGCCAAGGCCCUUCUCGGCCCCUUCCAGUUCGUCUGUAAUUCCCUGGCGCAGCUCCGGGAAGAGGUGCACGAACUGCAGGCGCGGUGGUUCCCCAGCAGAACCACUCUGCAUCGGGGAAUUGAAAACAAGGAAUUCCCCAACCAAACAGGGGCACAGGCUGUGUUUGCAGCUCCUGUAAAAGCUCCAUACCCAGAGCCGUGUCUCCCAGCUCCCAGCCGUCUUUGUGGCAAUUCUACAUUGGUAAGAUGUAGUUUCAGUUUGAAAUAUUUAAAAACAUUUGAAUUAAAAAUUGCCAUCACUCUUUGCAUACAGUAAAACAAUAACUUCUGGCUA